rnacentral:RNase_P_RNA from 1 species
GAUAGUCGGACGGUUGCGCGGUUUUGCCGCGAGGAAAGUCCGAACACCGCAGGACAGGACGCCGGCUAACUACCGGUGAAGGUGACUUUAAGGAAAGUGCAACAGAAAUAAACCGCCGCAGCCGCAAGGCUUCGGUAAGGAUGGAAAGGCGGAGUAAGAGCCCACCGCACCCACGGCAACGCGGGUGGCAAUGUAAACCCCGUCCGGUGCAAGAUUGUGAGGAAAAUCGGUUGUCCGCCGUUCCUCCCGUAUCGCUUGAACGUAUCGGCAACGAUGCGUCUAGACAGAUAACCGUCCCAGACAGAAUUCGGCUUACAGAUUAUCUU